GGGGAAUAUUGCACAAUGGGCGAAAGCCUGAUGCAGCAACGCCGCGUGAGCGAUGAAGGUCUUCGGAUCGUAAAGCUCUGUCCUCAAGGAAGAAUAUUGACGGUACUUGAGGAGGAAGCCCCGGCUAACUACGUGCCAGCAGCCGCGGUAAUACGUAGGGGGCUAGCGUUAUCCGGAAUUACUGGGCGUAAAGGGUGCGUAGGCGGUCUUGCAAGUCAGAGGUGAAAGGCUACGGCUCAACCGUAGUAAGCCUUUGAAACUGUAGGACUUGAGUGCAGGAGAGGAAAGUGGAAUUCCCAGUGUAGCGGUGAAAUGCGUAGAUAUUGGGAGGAACACCAGUUGCGAAGGCGGCUUUCUGGACUGUAACUGACGCUGAGGCACGAAAGCGUGGGGAGCGAAC
rnacentral:rRNA from 1 species